GGCAAAAUCAAGAGAAUUUAGUUUAUUGUCUAGUUAAAUUAACUUCUGGGGACAAAAAUCUACAUAACGUACUUAAAUUUGGUAUAUUAUAUUGGGGUAUAUUUGUUAUAGAUGGGGUGUAUAUUAUCAAAAAUACUAAACUGAGGAAAUGGAGCUCAUAUUAUCUACAGGCCUUCCCAAAAAUCCUCAGUGCAAACUAUGCUGUCCUCUCAAUGUUCACAUCAAACCUUUGACAUCGCACAGGUCACCUAUGACCUCAUCAACAGUGCCCAGCUCUGGGUCUAGAGACUGACUAAUCACAUGGUCCUCUAAAAGUGUCCAAUUAGCAAAAAGUGAUAUUGUAUUUUUCGUUAGUCUUUUUAAAAUGUGUGUUUAGAUAUUAAACAUAUAAAUAAAACUGUGUAAUCUCUCAUACCCAGCCCAGAAAGUGUAUUCACAGUUAUGUUGAUGAGGAAAUCAUGCCAUACUAUACAUACAGCAUUUGUGCAUAUGAUUGUUUUCCUUUCCCAUGUAUUUGUAAAGCAUCCCAUGACUGCCCGUCCCUUAAAUAAUGGUCUAUUUUUAAGCACCACACCUCCUAAAUACAACUCCUCCCUCUUUCUUUCUCAUUUUUUUUCUCACACAAAUGCAUAACUAUAUGGUUUAAGUCCACACCUCUCUGUCUUUAACACAAGGCUCUUAUUUGAACAUAUUCCACUCCUUUAAAACAAGUUGUACACUUUGAAACCUGUUCCCAUUCUUUCCGUGUCUGACACACCACCUCGCCCAACCAUUCCGAGGUGUGGUGACAGAUGCUUAGAGACAUGAAUCAGCAUGAAUUGUUCUGAAGAAAAACUUACCAUAGUAUUGUUUAUGGAAAGAGGUGUGACUGAUAACAGGCCAACUGAAUGUUUUAUCUUCUUAUACCGAAUUAUAUAAGUUAGCUGCUCACCCAUAACUUAUUUCUGUGGUGUAAUCGGUGUAUUGUGAAUCACAAGUAGUGCUGCAACCACUAUACAGUAGACAAUGAGAGGAUACGUUCCCCCAAUAUCCAAAUAGUGGCUAAACAAUAUAGGAUACAAACUACUUAUACAAACUACAGCUAAAGAAUCAGAUAUGCUGCUGAAAAAACUACAUUAGCAUCUUUUAGUUUCUCCUUGAGACCAUCUGUAGUAUUUUGUUGUGUUGGCAUGCUUUUGACAUGAAUACUGUUAAAGAAGUUAAGUAACUUAAUUAUGCUGAGUUAUAAGAUUUUUUUUGGUCAAAUUCUAAAACUGAAUCACAUUGUAUUGUAAAGAAGGUAAUCUGAGAAAGCACUGCAAUGAGCUCAGAAAAAAGAAAAGAAAAAAAUCAUUCAUCAAUCAUUAAACACUAGGACAAAACAAACACAUAUCUGUUAUAUUUUUUCUAUUAUAUAUCUAUUAUAUUUUCACCAUAUUUCAUAAAUAAUCUUAAAUUUAGAAAGUGUUAUGUAAUAUUAUAUUAUAUAAUUAAUUAGGCUAAAACAGUCUGUGUGUGCUGAAAAGGGUAUGUGACCAGGAAAGUAUUUUUCCCUAUUUCUGCAUGUCUCCACACUCCCAGAGUUUUUAGAGAAAUAACAGAAUAACAGAACUGGUCUGACAACAUUCCAUCUUUAAAUAUUACCUGUUAGAAUUCCACCCUAUCUGUAAGCAUAGAGUUUCUUCCCUGGAAUCGCAAUGCUCAUUCGGUCGUAAUAUAACUUAGUCUUCCAUUCUCAGUUUUUAAGACAACAUAAACAGAAAGCUUGUAAUGAGUUGUCAUAUGUCGAGUAAACUUCUUCAACACAUUUUUGAGGAAGAUGUGAGUAUUUACAUGUGCACAGGUGUGUCUCGGGCCUAUCUGAAUGGGUGGGAUUCCAGACCGUUCAUAUUUCACCAUCGCAGGAAGCCCGAGUUAGUAAGAUGACACACCCGGGUGACCUUCUGCUGUGGUGACAGAAAAGCAUUGGAGCUCAAAGUCAACACACACACACACACACACACACACAUUUAACACUUCAUUUUAAUUCAAGACAAAUUAAUAGAGAAAUUCUGUAAACUCACACUUCAAGUAUAAUAUAGUCUGUACCUUUAUGUGUGUUCCUACAGUAUGUGUUGAUAGUCACUAUAUCUAACAUCUAAUUUGCUUUCAAUUAAACAGAACGUUGUCUAAGUGUGCUUUCAGAUCAAAUCACAUUGAGUGUUUUAUACCAAAAAUCCCCUAAAAUUUGUAUAGUAUGCAUGCUUAAUUCCUCAACCCUUAGCACAAUACAUCUCCAUGGAACAAUCAAAUUUGCUCAAGGUCACUGUGUUCUCAGGUCAUCCCUCCUUGGGACUGAGUCAUUCACCUUGGUGCUAUUAACUUCAUUUUAUUUUGUGAAUUAUGAGGCAUCUGUGCAUCCGUUUCCUUUUUAAAAUGGAAGCCACUUUCCACAUCAGAGAAAAUAAUAAUAAUAAUAAUAAUAAUAAUAAUAAUAGUUAUAAAUAAAUAACCUCAUUUCUUGUGAUAGUGACUUCAUAUAAUCUCAAAACUGCACUCUAUGGAAGGACCUGCACUGAUGAUUCACAGCGGUUUUACCAGUAUUUUGAAUUAUGCAUUGCUUUGUGUUUUGUUUUAGGGUUGAAGGAAAUGUCUUAAUGCAACGUUAUGGAAAAGUGAUGUUGAUCCAGGAACAUGUCUUACUUGGAAAAAUUAUGGCAACCCCUUAUCAGACACAAGAUCUGCAAACCACUCAGACAAAGGAUGUAGGAUAUCAUUCUAUCAGUGCAUUCUUUUAUCUGAGUGCUGCAGUGCUUUUGGCUAAUGUCACCAUCAGAUACCAAGGAGUGGAUAAAGUGUACCAGCCAGACAUUGCUACUGUGGUAAAACUCAAUCAUCAUAGAUAAUGACAUGUUUCCCAAAAUACAAAAUAAGAACAAUUUACACCGAUCAUCCUGUUAAAAAGUUUACAACAACACAUAAAAUUAAAGAGCAAAAAAAAAAAAAAAAAAAACAGGUUAGGCGAGGUUAUGUCAGAAAAUAUUUAAAGAUUAUGUACAUAUUUACAGUAUUAUGAUAAUAUAUAAAUAAAUACUGUAAAUAGACAUGAAUCUACAGGAUAUUGCACUAAACAUUGGGAGUAUUGCACUGAGGGGGACAUUGGGAGUCAUGUAACAGUUGAGUAGGGAGAUGGCCUGUGGUGAGAAACUGGUACUGUGCCUAGAUAUUCUAGUGACUAGUGUUCUGAGUUGCCAGCCAGACAGCAAUAUAUAGGUUGUGGCCAGAGUGAGUGGAGUCUGUGAUGAUUUUACCUGCCCUCUUCCCCACUCUGGAAGAGUACAGGUCCAGGCGGAUGGGCAGGGGAGCACUAAUAAUCCUUUCAGCAGUCCGAACUGUCUGUUGUAGUCUCCUGAUGUCUAAUUUGGCAGCUAAACCAAACCAGGCAGUUACAGAUGACAGUUACAUAUUCACCCUCAGGCCAUCCAGGAUGUAGAUGAGUUUGUUUCUUCAUUGGAAUAGACUUGGAGAAAUUUAGCAUUACAACACUUGCUCACCAUGGAUCCCCUUUAUUUUUUAACUAAUAACUGUUUAUUUAAAGUGCACUCAGUAAUUCUUCAGUGACUAAUAUCUUCUGCUUCGUUUAAUACAGGUUCAAUACUGAAAUUUGUUACAAAAGAGGAUGAAAUGAUUAUUAUUGUUUAUUUUGAUAAUAUUUAAUCCUUUAAAAUG